AUUGAACGCUGGCGGCAGGCCUAACACAUGCAAGUCGAGCGAGCGGCGGACGGGUGAGUAAUGUAUGGGAAACUGCCUGAUGGAGGGGGAUAACUACUGGAAACGGUGGCUAAUACCGCAUACUAUCAGAUGAGCCCAUAUGGGAUUAGCUAGUAGGUGGGGUAAUGGCUCACCUAGGCGACGAUCCCUAGCUGGUCUGAGAGGAUGACCAGCCACACUGGAACUGAGACACGGUCCAGACUCCUACGGGAGGCAGCAGUGGGGAAUAUUGCACAAUGGGCGCAAGCCUGAUGCAGCCAUGCCGCGUGUGUGAAGAAGGCCUUCGGGUUGUAAAGCACUUUCAGCGAGGAGGCGUUACUCGCAGAAGAAGCACCGGCUAACUCCGUGCCAGCAGCCGCGGUAAUUC
rnacentral:rRNA from 1 species